AACAUCACAGACCGUCUGGUCUCUACAUAUCUAAGUAAGUGAUGUUUGUUUGCCUAAACUUGUUUACUAUGUGAUUUAAAAAAAAAAAAAAUCUAGUAACCAUGUUACCCUAUUGUUCUGUGUUUUAAAGAAAAUUUAUUUUUUUACACUGUGAGUGACUUACGAGUUGCAGACAUCCAGGUUAUUUUCAAUAUGUUCUGCAUCACCAUAUUAUCCAUAGUAUUUUUACAGGUGUACCAUCAGAAAACAAUGGUGUCUUUAGCCGUGGUGUAGACCUUGUAUUGUUUCAGGUUUCCUGGUAGAGAUGUUUCCUGCAUUGAUGAAAGUGAAUAAGGUUAUUUGCAAUUGUCCAGGUUGAAAAGUUAUCUUGUCAAGACAACAAUGUGCCUCUAACUAGGUUGUUGACUUUGAACAUCUGAAUGUUUCCAGAUUCCAAUUAAAAGAUUAUUGAAAACCUCCCUAUGGUACUGAAGGCAAGAUUUUUCUUGCAUCCAAGUACAAGAUGAUGUUGGUACCAAAGCUGAUAUCCAGAGAAGAUUUCAUCAUGUUGCCCAGGCCGAUCUUGAACUCCUAGGCUCAAGUGAUUCACCGUCCUCAGCCCCUCAGAGUGCUGGGAUUACAGGAGAGGAGGGGCUUAGGUUUCUGUAUUCCUCAAGACCCCGUAUGGCCUGGUGAACUUGGAGUUGAUCUAGGACCAAGGUAAAUCAUGUGGCUGGGCAGCCUGAGAACAAGGAUGAAAGCAGAAGUCAGAGGCAGCAAGCAAAUCUGGACUGUUUUACAGUAUCCCAGCAUCCUGGACUGACGGCAUGAGCUGGUAUUUCUCUCUCCAGUUCAGAAAUCAGUGGCCAGUCAUUGUUACAGACUCAUCAUCUUCUUCUUCUUCCUGAGAACAUCUAACUCAAAAGAGCACUGCUGUGAAAUACUGUAGGAAAUGUGCAUGCAUUGAGUGCAUUUCAAAAGAACAGUCCUUCAGUUUCAACUAUUUUUAUAUUUGUAGUUGCUUAUCUAUGUACAUGCUUUAUCAUAUUGUGUUAUAAAUAUGGAAAGCCUUCAUUACCCAAGUGUAAUUUGUUUCUGAAAAAGUCCAUUUAAAAUUAAGCCACCUGUAACGUUCCCAGUGGGUUGUCAAAGAAAAACAGUACUAUAUCACAUCACAUAGGACUCAGCAACUAGGAAGAGAAAUACCAGUCAGGACAGAAUACUCAAGAGUAAAGAAGGCAUAUGACAACCUGAAUGCAACAACUAUAAGCACACUUAAGGAAACUCAGCAGUACAAAGAAAAAAGUUUCUGGAGUUAGAAAGAAAAAUUAAAGUGAAGAAGAGGCUAACGUUUUUGAUAUUUGAAUUAGAG
rnacentral:lncRNA from 13 species